rnacentral:rRNA from 1 species
UCCAGACUCCUACGGGAGGCAGCAGUGGGGGAUAUUGCACAAUGGGGGGAACCCUGAUGCAGCGACGCCGCGUGAGUGAAGAAGUAAUUCGUUAUGUAAAGCUCUAUCAGCAGGGAAGAAAAUGACGGUACCUGAGUAAGAAGCCCCGGCUAACUACGUGCCAGCAGCCGCGGUAAUACGUAGGGGGCAAGCGUUAUCCGGAUUUACUGGGUGUAAAGGGAGCGUAGACGGCAGUGCAAGUCCGGAGUGAAAGCCCGGGGCUCAACCCUGGGACUGCUCUGGAAACUGUAAAGCUGGAGUGCGGGAGGGGCAGGCGGAAUUCCUGGUGUAGCGGUGAAAUGCGUAGAUAUCAGGAGGAACACCGGCGGCGAAGGCGGCCUGCUGGACCGUAACUGACGUUGAGGCUCGAAAGCGUGGGGAGCAAACAGGAUUAGAUACCCCGGUACG